rnacentral:rRNA from 1 species
CCUACGGGAGGCAGCAGUGGGGAAUAUUGGUCAAUGGCCGUAAGGCUGAACCAGCCAAGUCGCGUUAAGGAAGAAGGAUCUAUGGUUUGUAAACUUCUUUUAUAGGGGAAUAAAGGUAUCCACGUGUGGAUAUUAGCAUGUACCCUAUGAAUAAGCAUCGGCUAACUCCGUGCCAGCCGCCGCGGUAAUACGGAGGAUGCGAGCGUUCUCCGUAUUUAUUAGGUUUAAAGGGUGCGUAGGUCGUUUUUUAAGUCAGCGGUGAAAGUUUGGGGCUCAACCAUAAAAUUGCCGUUGAGACUGGAAGGCUUGAGUGUGUUUGAGGUAGGCGGAAUGCGUGGUGUAGCGGUGAAAGGCAUAGAGAUCACGAAGAACUCCGAUUGCGAAGGCAGCUUACGAAGCCAUAACUGACACUGAAGCACGAAAGCGUGGGGAUCAAACAGGAUUAGAUACCCUAGUAGUC